AUGAGAGAAGGUGGUGAGCAGCAGAUUGCGAAAGGAAAAGAGAUAUCAGAAUACAAACGAAACCCAGAGGCACCAAAACUCACCCUCUUCUGUUCAAACUUCAACCCAGCUCUCCCGUCCGCCUCCCUCACGCGAACACCCUUCCUCCGACUGUCUUCGCAACACUCCCGACCCACUACUCCUUCCGUUAGCCCGUCCGCGCUACGCAUCACCUCGUCAACCCAUUUCCGCAACCACAAUCCACGAACUCCCUCGGCUCUUCACUUUCGUUUCCUUUCCUCCACCCUUACUCCUUUCCUCUUUCGCUCAACAUCCACCUCAGACCACCAUCACCUCACGGUCACCGCCCCAUCACCAACCCACCGUGAACAACACACCUCACCGUGA